GGACACGUAGCUCAGUAGGAUAGAGCGAGGCUCUCCUAAAGCCUAGGCCGGAGGUUCGACUCCUCUCGUGUUCA
rnacentral:tRNA from 1 species